rnacentral:rRNA from 1 species
UACGAAGGGGGCUAGCGUUGCUCGGAAUGACUGGGCGUAAAGGGCGCGUAGGCGGCUUGCACCGUCAGAUGUGAAAUUCCUGGGCUUAACCUGGGGGCUGCAUUUGAUACGUGUGGGCUUGAGUGCGGAAGAGGGUCGUGGAAUUCCCAGUGUAGAGGUGAAAUUCGUAGAUAUUGGGAGGAACACCAGUGGCGAAGGCGACCGCCUGGACGAAGACUGACGCUGAGGCGCGAGAGCGUGGGGAGCAAACAGGA